rnacentral:rRNA from 1 species
CCUGGCGGCGAUAGCGCGGUGGUCCCACCUGACCCCAUGCCGAACUCAGAAGUGAAACGCCGUAGCGCCGAUGGUAGUGUGG